UCCAGCACGCCAGACUUCCUGUUGGAUUCACUUGCCAGUACUACCGACUUCCUGUCUUAGUCUUUUCUUUUUUCUGACCCCGCAGGAAGAACGGCUGCUUUUGACGGGAACUCGGCUUGUGAGUCCCGGGAUUCCCAACUUCCCUUUGGCUUCGGAUGCCAGCACUAUCGACUUCCUGUCCGCCCUCAGAAACCGCACCAGCAGCGCUAUGGCCACAGGUCUUCAGGCUCCGCAAAGGCUCUGAGAGCACCGCCGCGAAUCCCGCGUGAGAAACGCACGGCUCCCCGCUUCUGGGUCAUCUGAUCAAACGUCGAUUGUGUUCUUAGAUCAGAAUGUCUGACUUCUGCCUGAAAAAGAUUGUGUUUACUGAUGAUUGAUGUGGGAAGAAGAAAUCAACUGAGUUGGCAAUGUCUCUUAGCAAGGUUUCCUGGGCUUCUAAAGAGAACUAGCUGAAUACAAGACAGUAUAAAAGCAAAAGAGAAAAUAAAAAGAUAAUGGUCCCACAGGUUUUUCCUUUGGUGUAUAACAUGAGUUUCUUUCCUGAGCUUCCAAAUAGAUGGACUUUGGCCUAAGCAUAACAAGAAAAUCAGUACAUUACCAGAGUAGCUUUUACUUAAAUAAUUUAAUCACAGUGACAGUAUUUCAUUCAUCCUUUC
rnacentral:lncRNA from 1 species